CAGCCGCCGCGGUAAUACGGAGGAUCCAAGCGUUAUCCGGAAUCAUUGGGUUUAAAGGGUCCGUAGGCGGUUUAGUAAGUCAGUGGUGAAAGCCCAUCGCUCAACGGUGGAACGGCCAUUGAUACUGCUAAACUUGAAUUAUUAGGAAGUAACUAGAAUAUGUAGUGUAGCGGUGAAAUGCUUAGAGAUUACAUGGAAUACCAAUUGCGAAGGCAGGUUACUACUAAUGGAUUGACGCUGAUGGACGAAAGCGUGGGUAGCGAACAGGAUUAGAUACCCUGGUAGUCCACGCCGUAAACGAUGGAUACUAGCUGUUGGAAGCAAUUUCAGUGGCUAAGCGAAAGUGAUAAGUAUCCCACCUGGGGAGUACGUUCGCAAGAAUGAAACUCAAAGGAAUUGACGG
rnacentral:rRNA from 1 species